rnacentral:rRNA from 1 species
CUUAGAGUUUGAUCAUGGCUCAGGACGAACGCUGGCGGCGUGCUUAACACAUGCAAGUCGAGCGGAAAGGCUUCCUUCGGGAAGUACUCGAGCGGCGAACGGGUGAGUAACACGUGGAUAAUCAACCUCUUGCUCUGGAAUACCCCGGGGAAACUCGGAUCAAUGCCAGAUAAAGUGCGGUGCUGUCGGGCGCCGUACCAAAGAUAGCUUCGGCCUUCGGCGAGAGACGAGUCCGCGGCCCAUUAGCUAGUUGGCGGGGUAAUGGCCCACCAAGGCUACGAUGGGUAGCUGGUCUGAGAGGAUGAUCAGCCACACUGGGACUGAGACACGGCCCAGACUCCUACGGGAGGCAGCAGUGGGGAAUCUUGCGCAAUGGGCGAAAGCCUGACGCAGCAACGCCGCGUGCGGGAAGACGGCCUUCGGGUUGUAAACCGCUUUCAGGGGAGACGAAGCUUCCAAGGUUAAUAGCUUUGCGGAGUGACGGUAUCUUCAGAAGAAGUCCCGGCUAACUACGUGCCAGCAGCCGCGGUACCCA